AUAAUUUGACUGUAGUAUUAUCAUAUAUAUUUGCCAAUACGGGGCAAACGUUUCUACCUGAAAACCGUAAAUUUUCAGACUAUGAUUAUGCGACUUUUUUAG
rfam:Clostridiales bacterium CHKCI006 isolate CHKC6 genome assembly, contig: {contig21}